CUGGACAGCCCUGCUCCAGACACACACUGACCCCUCCAGGACCAGGACUGGACAGCCCUCCUGCAGAUACACAGGCCGGCCCUUUUAACUGCAGCCCUCGUUACCAGGGGGACUCAGUUUGGUGCAACACAGAUCGGAAGCAGCUGUCAUCGGUAGCGGUUCUCGGCAGUAGUCGCUUUUAUUUCUCGAUGAAUUAAAAAAAUUAAAGGUCUUGGUUCUUGGAAUGAGUUUCUGUUGCCGUGAAGGAAAAUAAAUCGGUUUAUUUACCGUUUCCUUUUAGGAGUGUCUGAAAUCCACGGAUUGGCGCAGGAGAGCCGGGGAGGGGGGGGCUUCGAUCGCGAGAGGGAAACCAGCCGCAUUUGACGGAAACGGCCGGAAAGAGCCGAAGGCGCCCGGUCUCUCGCUCGCUCGCUCGCUCGUUCGCUCGCACACUCCGCUGCCCCGCGCACGCACGCCAGCACGCACGCGAGGAGUCCGGCGGGUGCACGAUCGCCGCAUUUCACGCGAGCGGAGCGAGGGACGCGGAGGGUCGCGCCUGCAGCCACGCAGCCAGGACACGCGUGGAUACCGGAGCGGACGGAGGGAGCGAGCCUUGUGCCCUGACAGCCCGUGCGUGUGCACUCAUCCCUCCGCCUCCUCUCGGGACGGUAAGAGCGGAGCCGCGCUGGUGAUGAUGAUGAUGGUGAUGGUGGUGACUGUCGCGGGGGGGGGCGGUGUGACUGCCGUGGCCGUGGCGGGGAGUGCGGUUCCCUGUCUCUGUGCUGCGUGGGCUGGGGUCUCCCCCGCGCGCAGCUGCUCACGGGGGGAACAGUCGCAGCGUGGAAGCACGUCUCGCGGCCGGACCCCGGCGGACCCCGGCUCGCGCGCUGGCUGCUCUCGGCUGUGGCGUGGCGCGGCGAGACCUGCGUGAUGAGCACAGCGUGCCGCCUGCGGUUCUCUGUACUGCACUGUGGAAAAGAGCCCACUGGAGACACGCGUGAACAUAUAGAGACUGUGUAGCGCUGUGUGAUAUCUAGAAAGAGAGACACUACAGAACCCUGAACAGACAAUACACACUAGCCGAAUAUUUGACCAAGAUAAGAAACCGAUCCUGAGGAAGUACAGGCUCAGUGACCACAGCCUGGCCAGAGAAACUGG
rnacentral:lncRNA from 1 species